rnacentral:tRNA from 1 species
UCCCUGGUGGUCCAGUGAUUAGGGCUCAAUACUUUCACUUCAGGGGGCCCAGGUUCAAUCCCUGGCUAGAGAA